UACGUAGGGCGCAAGCGUUAUCCGGAAUUAUUGGGCGUAAAGAGCUCGUAGGCGGUUUGUCGCGUCUGCCGUGAAAGUCCGGGGCUCAACUCCGGAUCUGCGGUGGGUACGGGCAGACUAGAGUGAUGUAGGGGAGACUGGAAUUCCUGGUGUAGCGGUGAAAUGCGCAGAUAUCAGGAGGAACACCGAUGGCGAAGGCAGGUCUCUGGGCCG
rnacentral:rRNA from 1 species